UACGAAGGGUGCAAGCGUUAAUCGGAAUUACUGGGCGUAAAGGGUGCGUAGGCGGUUCGUUAAGUCUGUUGUGAAAGCCCCGGGCUUAACCUGGGAAUGGCAUUGGAAACUGGCUCGCUGGAGUGUGGCAGAGGGGGGUGGAAUUCCGCGUGUAGCAGUGAAAUGCGUAGAGAUGCGGAGGAACACCGAUGGCGAAGGCAAUCCCCUGGGCCUGCACUGACGCUCAUGCACGAAAGCGUGGGGAGCAAACAGG
rnacentral:rRNA from 1 species